rnacentral:rRNA from 1 species
GAUGAACGCUGGCGGCGUGCCUAAUACAUGCAAGUCGAGCGAACAGACGAGGAGCUUGCUCCUCUGACGUUAGCGGCGGACGGGUUAGUAACACGUGGAUAACCUACCUAUAAGACUGGGAUAACUUCGGGAAACCGGAGCUAAUACCGGAUAAUAUAUUGAACCGCAUGGUUCAAUAGUGAAAUACGGUUUUGCUGUCACUUAUACAUGGUUCCGCGCCGCAUUAGCUAGUUGGUAAGGUAACGACUUACCAAGGCGACGAUGCGUAGCCGACCUGAAAGGGUGAUCGGCCACACUGGAACUGAGACACGGUCCAGACUCCUACGGGAGGCAGCAGUAGGGAAUCUUCCGCAAUGGGCGAAAGCCUGACGGAGCAACGCCGCGUGUGUGAUGAAGGUCUUCGGAUCGUAAAACUCUGUUAUUAGGGAAGAACAAAUGUGUAAGUAACUAUGCACGUCUUGACGGUACCUAAUCAGAAAGCCACGGCUAACUACGUG